rnacentral:rRNA from 2 species
CGGCGUGCCUAAUACAUGCAAGUCGAGCGGAUCUUCAUUAGCUUGCUUUUGAAGAUCAGCGGCGGACGGGUGAGUAACACGUGGGCAACCUGCCUGUAAGACUGGGAUAACUUCGGGAAACCGGAGCUAAUACCGGAUAAUCCUUUCCCUCACAUGAGGGAAAGCUGAAAGACGGUUUCGGCUGUCACUUACAGAUGGGCCCGCGGCGCAUUAGCUAGUUGGUGAGGUAACGGCUCACCAAGGCAACGAUGCGUAGCCGACCUGAGAGGGUGAUCGGCCACACUGGGACUGAGACACGGCCCAGACUCCUACGGGAGGCAGCAGUAGGGAAUCUUCCGCAAUGGACGAAAGUCUGACGGAGCAACGCCGCGUGAACGAUGAAGGCCUUCGGGUCGUAAAGUUCUGUUGUCAGAGAAGAACAAGUACCGGAGUAACUGCC